rnacentral:rRNA from 1 species
AUUGAACGCUGGCGGCAUGCCUUACACAUGCAAGUCGAACGGUAACAGGUCUUCGGAUGCUGACGAGUGGCGAACGGGUGAGUAAUACAUCGGAACGUGCCCGAUCGUGGGGGAUAACGAGGCGAAAGCUUUGCUAAUACCGCAUACGAUCUACGGAUGAAAGCGGGGGAUCUUCGGACCUCGCGCGGACGGAGCGGCCGGUGGCAGAUUAGGUAGUUGGUGGGAUAAAAGCUUACCAAGCCGACGAUCUGUAGCUGGUCUGAGAGGAUGAUCAGCCACACUGGGACUGAGACACGGCCCAGACUCCUACGGGAGGCAGCAGUGGGGAAUUUUGGACAAUGGGCGAAAGCCUGAUCCAGCCAUGCCGCGUGCAGGAUGAAGGCCUUCGGGUUGUAAACUGCUUUUGUACGGAACGAAAAGCCUCUUUCUAAUAAAGAGGGGUCAUGACGGUACCGUAAGAAUAAGCACCGGCUAACUACGUG